GCCCCGGUAGCUCAGCGGCUAGAAGAGGUGGCAAAAGCAACGGCCUUGUAAGCCGUAGGUCGCGGGUUCGAAACCCGCCCGGGGCUCCA
rnacentral:tRNA from 1 species